GGCUCGGUAGCUUAGUUGGUAAAGCACUUAUCUAGCGAAUAAGGUACGUGAGUUCAAAUGUCACCUGAGCUG
rnacentral:tRNA from 1 species